GAGGUGAAGGGACCGCCACUGACUCUGUCCCCUGCAACCUUCCCUGCCCCUGUAACCUACUAUACGUACUGUCCACCGUGACUGCUACCAUUACUCACUUCAUUAACUGACCUCAAUACUACUACUACUACUACUACUACAACUACUACUACUACUACUACUACUACUACUACUACUACUAGGAAGAUACCCAUGUACAUACAAAUGGUAUCAGAAUUGUAAAUACUCGUAUAUGGCAACUGUCUAUUACCGCUCUAUUUCCUGACUGUUUUCUUAGCUCGACUUAGCUCGACUACUUUAACUAACUAUUAUUACUACUACCACCCACCGUCACCACUAUCACCAUCACCACAAUGAUUCACUAUCACCACCACAGCACCAGUUUCCUGCCCAUGUCAUUAUCUGUACUCCAUCCAUUCAUCCACCCAUCAUCGACUCAUUCUCCUCCUCGGGACGGUGAUGGCGAUGGCCCCUCGAUUCUUGAGUUGAAAUGCAGUGGCUACGCUUUUCUGGGCCAUCCUCGCCGGUGCAAUGGAGGGGAGAUUAGCAGGAGGCAGAAGGGAAUGACAGGGCAGGAGAUACGAAGCGAGGGAGGUGGAAGGGUGAGCCGGAAUGACGAGACGGACUGACCUCCCUAACAAAGGCAGGCAGGCAGGGAGACAGCAAGCACGAGGGGAUUUUUGAGUGAGCGGAUGAGUGGCUGAAAGGAGGGUUUGUUUAUUUUGGAUCAUGUCAGACUCUAGGAGGUAACUGAGGGGCGUUAUGAAAGCAGAAACAACAGGAGGACGCAGCGAACGGGAUGGAGACUUUUUUUCUUUGACAGUUCGCGGAUAUGAGUGUGCAAUAUGAAAUACUGCACGUUGCAAUGAUACAGGCAGGUAGGCAGGCAGACAGGCAUGCAGGUAGACGGACAUUGUUAGAGGAAGGCAGUGACUGAGAAAUGAUAUUACGGAGAGAGAGAGAGAGAGAGAGAGAGAGAGAGAGAGAGAGAGAGAGAGAGCAACAACAGGUUACACCGCAAUAGUGAGUUGUAUCUUCCCACGUAUCUGUUGACGUGUUUCAUUAUUCUCUUUAUAAAAUGCCUGUUAUUUUCUUUUUUUUUUCUCUAUAGUUUUUGCGUGUAUUAAUGGCAUGUAUUUGUUAGUGCAGUGUAUAGUGAGUUCCUCUGGGAUAUUUUCAUCUAAAACCCAUAAGACGGUACACGUUGUAAAUCCUGUACCAAACUUUGUACUCAGUGCGCCAUCCCACCUCACUUGCCCCGCCACGUCUACACCUCCUGCCAACCCGAGCCAGUCUUUAUAAAUCCUGGCGAUGAUGACACCGUUUGGGACGACACCAAAAAAUUUACGGGUCUUUAUUUAUAGUGCCCCAAAUUGCUUCCUAAUGACCCGCAGCAAACAAAACAGGAGGUGCAGGCUCGGCGCGGCUCAGCGGCACUCAGCACUCGUCACCAAGGCUCCCUUCAGCCUCUUGACGAUUUUUCUUCAGAGACAUGUAACCCAAGAGUCGAGGGGUUUAGAGAGAGAGAGAGAGAGAGAGAGAGAGAGAGAGAGAGAGAGAGAGAGAGAGAGAGAGAGAGAGAGAGAGAGAGAGAGAGAGAGAGAGA